GACAGAGGGUGCAAACGUUGUUCGGAAUUACUGGGCGUAAAGGGCUCGUAGGCGGUCAACUAAGUCCGACGUGAAAUCCCCAGGCUUAACCUGGGAACUGCGUCGGAUACUGGUUGGCUUGAAUCCGGGAGAGGGAUGCGGAAUUCCAGGUGUAGCGGUGAAAUUCGUAGAUAUUAGGAAGAACACCAGUGGCGAAGGCGGCUCACUGGUCCGGUACUGACGCUGAGGUGCGAAAGCGUGGGGAGCAAACAGG
rnacentral:rRNA from 1 species